UACGUAGGGGGCAAGCGUUAUCCGGAUUUACUGGGCGUAAAGCGCGUGUAGGCGGUUGCGCAAGUUGGUUGUGAAAUCUCCCGGCUCAACCGGGAAACUGCAGCCAAAACUGCGCGGCUAGAGUGGCAGAGAGGAAAGUGGAAUUCCCGGUGUAGUAGUGAAAUGCGUAGAGAUCGUGAGGAAGACCAGUGGCGAAGGCGGGUCUCUGGACAGUUCCUGACACUGAGGCACGAAGGCCAGGGGAGCAAACGGG
rnacentral:rRNA from 1 species